AAUAUUGCGCAAUGGCCGAGAGGCUGACGCAGCGACGCCGCGUGCGGGAGGAAGCCCUUCGGGGCGUAGACCGCUGUCAGGGGGGACGAACCGCCGGGGUGGGAAUACUGCCUCGGUCUGACGGUACCCUCAGAGGAAGCACCGGCUAACUCCGUGCCAGCAGCCGCGGUAAUACGGAGGGUGCGAGCGUUGUUCGGAAUUACUGGGCGUAAAGCGCGCGCAGGCGGACGUGCAAGUCGGGGGUGAAAUCCCAGGGCUCAACCCUGGGACUGCUUUCGAUACUGCAUGUCUAGGGACCGGUAGAGGCUGGUGGAAUUCCCGGUGUAGCGGUGGAAUGCGUAGAUAUCGGGAAGAACACCUGUGGCGAAGGCGGCCAGCUGGGCCGGAUCCGACGCUGAGGCGCGAAAGCGUGGGGAGCAAAC
rnacentral:rRNA from 1 species